GAAAAGGUAGGAAAUCCUAAAUUCUAGAAAUCCUUCGAUUCGAUGUUAAUUGAUGCAAUUGAUUGUUUAAAGUAGUGUAAUAGAGAGUCUAUUAAUGUUCUGGGUUGUAAAAUCAUGAACCCAUAACAUCAAAGUGCACGAAUUUGAAGAUUUGAGCAAGUUGGAAAAACCGAAUUCUGUUAUUUUUCACCAAAUGUCAGAGGCUAUAACUCUUUGGUCGAUCAUGAGUUUUGUUGUUUAAAAGUUGUUAUAGGUAGCCUAAUAUGUGGUCUUUAAACUCCAAAAGGAAUCAGGUCUAUAUCUAUUGUAGAUCGGGAUUUAUAAGCGGUCAAAGUGGGUUGACCGGCAUUGACCGGCUGUUUUUCAAACCCAGAAAAUAUUCUAAGUGUCCAGAAAAUUUUUUUUUGGCAAAUGUCAGGCCUUAUAUCUCGGUCAUCUUUAAUGUGUUUUGUGUUCUAAAGGUUGAUAUGUGUAGCUUGUUAUGUGGUAUUUAACCUCCAAAAAGAAUCAGGUCCAUAUAUAUUACGGAUUAAGAGUUAUUUAAGGUCAAAGUGGGUUGACCGGCAUUGACCAGAAAAUUCUGGGCAGCCCAGAAUUUUCUAAGUGUUAAUUUUUCUGACAAGGUUUGACCAUACUUUAGAUGCUUGAUUUCUUGUUGUUAUGAUGAUGUUAAGUGUUAGAGUUGUAGUCCUACAUGUUGUCUACACACUGGAAUUGAUAGAUCACAUAAACGUUACACGAUCAUCAAGUUAUAGAGGUCCAAAGUAGGCACCUCGAACUGUUCUUCGUGAAGAACAGCUUUGGUAGCUACUUUGAUGGCUGAUUUAUCCCAGAUCUGAUGUUUGUUUAGAGGUUAUGAUUGUUGGAUCUUGUAGUCUUGUAUUUCCUCUACAAGACCCAAUUUAUAGAUUGUCCAAAUUCGUUAAGAUGAGAGAGUUAUUCACGGUCAAAGUAGGCCACUCGGUUCUGCCUUAUGAAGAUCUGGGUAGGCUCAAGAACACCUAUAGCGACACUUCUGUCACUAUAGGGGCCUUUAGCGACAGUUUUAAUUAUUUUAAUUUCUGAUUUUCCGGAAAUUAAUUUAAAAAUUAGAAAAAUUAGUUUUUAAUUAUUAAAAAUACCAAAUAAAUUAUGAAAAAUUAUUUUAAAGUCUGAAAAAUAGUUUUUAAUUAUUUUGAGUAUAUUUCAUAAAUAUUUAAUAUUUUUGAAAUAUAAAAGGUAUUUAUUUAUUUAAUUAUAAUAUUAAAUAAAUGAUUUAAAAAUAGUUUUAAUUCAUGAAAAAUCAU
rnacentral:lncRNA from 1 species